CGAUUACGGGAGGCAGCAGUGAGGAAUAUUGGUCAAUGGACGAAAGUCUGAACCAGCCAAGUAGCGUGCAGGAUGACGGCCCCUGGGUUGUAAACUGCUUUUAGUUGGGAAUAAAAAAGAGGACGUGUCCUCUAUUGUAUGUACCUUCAGAAAAAGGACCGGCUAAUUCCGUGCCAGCAGCCGCGGUAAUAUCG
rnacentral:rRNA from 1 species